UAGGGAAUCUUCCACAAUGGACGCAAGUCUGAUGGAGCAACGCCGCGUGAGUGAAGAAGGUUUUCGGACCGUAAAGCUCUGUUGUUGGUGAAGAAGGAUAGAGGUAGUAACUGGCCUUUAUUUGACGGUAAUCAACCAGAAAGUCACGGCUAACUACGUGCCAGCAGCCGCGGUAAUACGUAGGUGGCAAGCGUUGUCCGGAUUUAUUGGGCGUAAAGCGAGCGCAGGCGGAAGAAUAAGUCUGAUGUGAAAGCCCUCGGCUUAACCGAGGAAUUGCAUCGGAAACUGUUUUUCUUG
rnacentral:rRNA from 1 species